rnacentral:lncRNA from 10 species
ACUGAUAAAGGUCCAAUUUUGAGAGAGAAAACACAGUAAUUUGAAUAGGAGAAAUUUAAUAUAAAGGUUUGCCAGCUGUAACAGGUAGCUGGCAUUAUAAGGGAGUGGCUAAUAAAAGUUAAGAAAACUCAGAAGAACAUAGGAAUAGAAGACAGAAGGGGCAGCCACUACUCCCAGGGCUGGACUGGGGAACUUGCUUUAAAUCAGCCCUUUAGGAUGAAAAAGGACAGAAGACGCUGCUCACCAGGAAUUUCUCACUAGAGGCACUUUCCUACAAAACCACUUGAAGAGGUGCCAGAUUGCUUUUUACUGAAAGAAUGCAACAAAGAGAGCUGCCAAGAAAAUACAGUUAUUCCCCCAAAUAGUUCAAAGAACUAUGCCAGUUACCAUGGACACCACAUGUUGAGAUGCUAAAGAGUCAGAAUGGGUCUGUGAGUGAUUAUCUGGAAUGCUGGACAUGUAGAGUUUGUAUGGAGAGUACUGCGCUAGACAUGGAACAAAUAGAGACCAAAGACAGCAAGACUGACGGCAGCUCAACGGGGGGAGAUAUAAUUCUUAUUUUUUUCAUCUUCCUUCAGUUUCCAAACCCUAUCACUUGCUGACCCUAAGGCCUCUACUGCCAUUACCCAGCUAGACUUUCUUUGGUAGAAAAUGGAUGGAAGAUUUGCACCAUGCAUUUGACAAUUUUUGCAUCAGUUUCCAUCUGUUUCCCAGCUGUUCUAAGUGAGGCAAAAGUCCCUCCCUUUUCUUCAACCUCCCAUAUCCUAUGCCAAAUGGCACUGUAGAAGUCUCGCAUAUAUGAUCAUUUAAAAUUUCGCUGAAGUCAUGUCUGAAUUCUGCACACUGCCUUAUGGAUGUGGGAGAGGUGACUAAACUGAGUCAACGCAGUCAACCACCCAGGACUUGCAAUUCCAGGGGGUUGCAUCCACCUAACCCUCCGGGGUUCUGGCUUCGGAUAGUGUUUGAUCAAUGGAAGCAACAAAAGAAGAUUGGAGGACAUGAAGACAGGUUACUGGAUGAUAUUCGACAUGAGCUGCAAUCCUCCAUCUGAGGUCCCAACUUUUCCAGAAGGCUUCUGUCCUGUUGCGCUCAUUGGAUUCUGGUACCAAAUUACAUAUAUAUCUGUCAAAAUGAUGUAGGACCUAAAGUCUCUCUGUAAGUUGAUCCUUUUGACCCCAUGAUUAGGAGCUUCACAAUGUGGUACCACACCUGGAAACCUCCAGAACAAGAUCUCAAGGAAACACAGGAAAUUCCUGAAACAGCAAAACCCCCUAUGUGAAGACGUCUGUUAUUCCUUUGUGUAUCAGGAGCAUCACUGUUAAUUAACUGUUGAUACACUUAAAACAGCUUGGUUGGCAAUGUCCUUUUUGAAUAAAGAAGAGCCAGGUGUGUUUUUCAGGAUGAACUAGACAAUGCUGUCACAAGUUUACCUCUACAUCUUAUUGCCUUGGAAAAAUUUCCUGCAUAUCGUGGCACAAGAUGGUUGGCUCUCCAGGCAGCAGUUGGCGUUGUGAAUCAGUCAUCUCAGCAUGUGUCUCCAAGAUCCCACAGCAGGGGGAAAAAGAGGUGGAGGGUCACAUGCCUGGUGUUACAUACUUUGAGGCAGAGGUGGUAGGUGCCAUUUCUGCUCACAGCUCAUGGACCAGAACAAAGCCAUGCAUACCUGAGAGAGGACCAGAAAAUAUUCUGAAGCAGAUGGCUAUUUGGUGAGCAGUAAAUGUUUCUGUUACAACAGGUCUUGACAAACUUCAAAUGUACUCCUACUAGGCCUACUUCACACCACUAAACUCUGUACUUCCUGUUGCUUGAUGGCAUCUUAUGCUGAUGUUUUCUAUCAUAGUGUCCGGCACAAAACAAGAGCUCAAUACAUAUACUUAAUAGCGCAUUUAGAUCUAAGAGUUUCACUUUAUCAAAAGAUUUUAGUACCUACGUAGCUAUUGGGCCACAUCAGGAAAAUGUAACUGCUUCUACAACUGCAAAGAAAAUUUAACUAAUUGUAUGCUCAUCCCAGCUUCAGGUUUUUGUUUUGUUUUGUUUGCUAGCUUCUUUUUAUUUCAUAAUUUUUGCUUUGUUUUCUGCCCUUGAGCAGAGGUUCAUUUCUAGUUUUCACUGGAAUUAGAACAACAGUUGUGUCCAUAUGCAAUAACAGUGUUUCAAAUUCUUUGGGGAUUUGCCCACAGUGUCUGCAGUCAUAUUGUGACACCAGUUGUGAUGCCAGUCUCUGUAAAUCAGACUUAUUCCCAGUGAGACAUUAUAUAUUUUUGCAGCCAAUACGAUCUAUUUUAUAGCGAUUUAUAGCAUUGUCUCUGAAAAGGAUACUUUGAUUUGUGUCUUGUUUUUGUCAGUUUUCAACACUUUGAUUGUGGCCCAGGUUAAUUAAUAUUUUGUGUCUAGGUUUCCUCAUCUCUAAAAUAAAGAUGUUUAUUUCUAUAGCUUCAUGUUGACAAUUAAAUUAUAUAAUUUAUGUUACUCAACUAGCAAGUAAAUUGAUGUACAGUGUAUUUAUAAAUGAUAGAUACUAUCUUUAUGUUAAUUUUUAUUAUUGUCAUCAUUAUCAUCAAUUUUCAGGUCCGUGUUCUGACUAAAAGGAAGCCACACUCUGUCGAAAACAAGCUUUGUAAGAAAAUUUUGAAGUAUUUACUUAUAUCUAACCAUUCAUUCCACCUUUUCUCCCAAAUAACACUCUAAUAUCUUGAGACAUCUUGUCUAGGGCCAGAUUUCAUAAAUGCUUGUGAGGCAGGAGAAUAAGUUCCAGAGGCAGUUCACACUGCCUAAAGCCAAUUCACACUGACUUCCUAUAACUAAAUCUAAAGGAAAAUCUCAACUUUCCUCGCCCAAGUAACAAAAGAAUCAGAGGUUAUACUCCCUUUGCAACCUGCCCCUUUUCUGCCUGGCAGAUGAAAAAUGAAAAGUACCUAUGACUGGUCCCCUCCCACGACCAGCCAGACUGGUCACGGAUCACUACUUCAUUUACAUAGGGCGUAAACCGAGUAACCAAUGGGAAACCUCUAGAGGGUAUUUAAACCCCAGAAAAUUCUGUAACCGGUGGUCUCCAGCAGGUUGCUCAAUCUUGCUGCCACUCUGUGGGAUGUACUUUUGUUUCAAUAAAUCUGUGCUCUUCCUUCGUGGUUUUGUUUGUGCUUUUUGUCCAACUCUUUGUUCAAAAUGCCAGGAACAUGGAC